rnacentral:ncRNA from 2 species
AGGGCGGCGAUUGCGUCAGGUUCCCCGCAAGGGGAUCAAAAGGGAACGGGGUUCAAGACCCCGGCUGCCCCUGCAACUGUGAGCGGCGAGCCAUCGAGGCACAGGCCAUUGGGAUCAUGAUCCCGAGAAGGCGCUUCGAAAACGGCAUUGACCCGCAAGCCAGGAGACCUGCCUGUCGCGGUCGUUCUUC